rnacentral:rRNA from 1 species
AGCGGAGGAAAAGAAACUAACAAGGAUUCCCCUAGUAGCGGCGAGCGAAGCGGGAAGAGCUCAAAUUUAUAAUCUGGCACCUUCGGUGUCCGAGUUGUAAUCUCUAGAAGUGUUUUCCGCGUUGGACCGCGCAUAAGUCUGUUGGAAUACAGCGGCACAGUGGUGAGACCCCCGUAUGUGGUGCGGAUGCCCAGCGCUUUGUGAUACACUUUCGAAGAGUCGAGUUGUUUGGGAAUGCAGCUCAAAUUGGGUGGUAAAUUCCAUCUAAAGCUAAAUAUUGGCGAGAGACCGAUAGCGAACAAGUACCGUGAGGGAAAGAUGAAAAGCACUUUGGAAAGAGAGUUAACAGUACGUGAAAUUGUUGGAAGGGAAACGCUUGAAGUCAGACUUGCUUGCCGGGCAACCGGUUUGCAGGCCAGCAUCAGUUUUCCGGGGUGGAUAAUGGUAGAGAGAAGGUAGCAGUUUCGGCUGUGUUAUAGCUCUCUACUGGAUACACCUUGGGGGACUGAGGAACGCAGUGUGCCUUACGGCGGAGGUUUCGACCUCUUCACACUUAGGAUGCUGGUGGAAUGGCUUUAAACGACCCGUCUUGA